rnacentral:rRNA from 1 species
UACAGAGGUCUCAAGCGUUGUUCGGAUUCAUUGGGCGUAAAGGGUGCGUAGGCGGCUUCUUAAGUCAGGGGUGAAAUCCUGGAGCUCAACUCCAGAACUGCCUCUGAUACUGAGGAGCUCGAGUCCGGGAGAGGUGAGUGGAACUCCGAGUGUAGAGGUGAAAUUCGUAGAUAUUCGGAAGAACACCAGUGGCGAAGGCGGCUCACUGGCCCGGUACUGACGCUGAGGUGCGAAAGGCGUGGGGAGCAAACAGG